UAUCGGAACGUACCCAAGAGUGGGGGAUAACGUAGCGAAAGUUACGCUAAUACCGCAUACGAUCUAUGGAUGAAAGCAGGGGACCGCAAGGCCUUGUGCUCCUGGAGCGGCCGAUAUCUGAUUAGCUAGUUGGUGAGGUAAAGGCUCACCAAGGCGACGAUCAGUAGCUGGUCUGAGAGGACGACCAGCCACACUGGGACUGAGACACGGCCCAG
rnacentral:rRNA from 1 species